CUAAAAUUCCGGGAGUGGCAAAGAGAUGGACACCGAGUUAGUUGCCUGUGUCAAGUGACUUCAGAUUUCUGAGACAGGUGACAGAGGGACAUUCUAGAGGACAGAGGAGAUCUCCAAGGACAGCCGAUGUCGCAAGAGAGGAGAAUAGUGACAGUGGUUCCAAAGAAUAAAGUUGUAUAUACUCUGAAGAUCCUCAAUAAUUGCACUGCAGUAUGAGCAAGAGAGAGAACAAGUGGCACACCCAAUGUGAGCUAGCAGGAAUAACGGUAGAUUUCAUGGUCGUGACAUCACCACCAGAACAUAUAUAGCUUUGGCACAAGGCGGGAAUCUUUUGUCUCUCUGGGUCCUCACCCCUCCUUCUAAAUGGAAAAGCACCAGGUUUAAGAUGGAUUCCAGUACCAGGUGACAUGAUCACAUGUCCUGUGAGACCUCAAGCCUUCAUUCUUCCUGGCCUGACUCACAGGAAGGCUUGCAAGUAAACAGAGCCAUUUACAACCAAUUGUCCUAGUUGAUGGGAGCCAUCAAGAUUCCAAGACACCAUUAAUGGCCCACUGUAACGAGGUGGUGGGAUACCCCACAGCCCCACUGAGGGCCAAACCUCCCCUAAUACCGACAUGGGCGGAGCCACCGGGUCCGGCGCCCGCCCGUCAGAGGUCACGGUGCCGACCCGGAAGUAUAAAAGCCCACUCGCAGAGCUCAGUGGAGCCCAUGCCGGCGGAGAGGGCAGACGUCUCUGGCCGAGCUCCCGCUUGGGAGACGGCUGCAGGCCGCGACUGGCCUGCUGACUUACCAGGCCUGCCGAGCCUACCUCUCGCCCGCUACCCUGAGGAGGACUGGCCAAGCCUGCCCCGUCCCAGCUACCGUGAGGAGGAGCCGAGCCUGCCCUUCGCCCGGUACCCUGAGGAGCCGAUGCUGGUGGAGAGCACCGAGGACACUAGGACAGCCCAGGUACCAUACGAGGGGGAGUGUGGAAGUAGCCCCGGGCCAGCCGACCCCAGUCUGGCUGCUGCAUUGCCAGAGCCGAUGUCAGUGUGUUGCGGCCAGGAUCCCCACUGACAGCAGUGGGUUUCCGCCGCUGCUAGGGCCCCGGGCUGGGACGCAAUGGAGUCGGAGGGCCUGCAUCCCCCCUGCCACCCACUCCUUGGGUGGCAGACUCCCCCUUUUCCCCUGGCCUAGGGAGGCUGGGACCUGCUAUAAACCCUGACCCAGCCCCUGCUUAAAGGCCUGGAUUUCUGCCUGACUGCUUGAUUGUUGCCCCGCCCUGACCUAAGGCCUGGGCAGCUAUAGACAUUGCCUCAGCCCCUGCUUAAGGGCCUGGGUUUUCCGAGCUACUGACUCAGCCCCUGCUUGAGCGCCGGAGCCCCAGACUGCGUGAUUACUGCCCCGCCCUGAUUGAGGGCUCGGGGCUCUUUUCGGAACUAUUGGCUCAGCCCCUGUUUACGGGCCUGAGCCCCCUAACCGUGUGUCCGUUAUCCCAGACUGACGCCGGGCCAGGACUGCCGGCGGACUACAGCGAGGCGGCGGGAUACCCCACAGCCCCGCUGAGGGCCGAACCUCGGCCGAGACUACUACACCCACACUUUGCAUAAUUACAAUAGGUCAUCAGAGUUAUAUGUCAUAUUUCUAGUUUCAGAUACAAGAAUGAUACAUUUAUACAAAUAGGAUGACCACACUCAGUAGAUUAUAAGCUUUGUAAUGAUACCUUACAAGAGAUCUUUUGCAUGAAGCAUAUUCCAGUUGCAUUAUAUUCACACUCAUUAGCAUAUUUUCUUAAAAUCAUAUGGAGUGCAACGUCACACUUGUGUCUUAUUGGCUUCAAUGGGCUUUAACCAGGUGCUUAAAGCUAAGUAUGUGCUUUACUGAAUAGGAAUGGGGUUAUUCACAUGCUUAAAUCUAAUCACAUACUUAAGGAUUUUACUGAAUAAGGUUAGGAUUACUCACAUGCUGAAAGUUGAGCAUAUUUUCCUGUGAAUAAAAUAUGCUGAAUUGAGGCUAUGAACAUUUUGUUUUGCUCACAAAAAUCUAUAUGUGAGACUCUUUUUACAUUUCAGCAUCACAUAAGAUAGUGUGACAGUGUUCAAUGUAUUAUUUACCAGUCUUGGUUGCUGUAAAGUUGGUUGAUGAUUCCUAUAAUAUUUACCAUAGCAAUGGAUUAUAUGGCAUCUUCAUAGCUUUUUCUAUAAAAAUAAAUCCUUCGUUUCACUCUGUUGAGGCCCAGCUGUGGGACAUAAUAUGGGAUGAAAACUCAUAUUGAAGGAUUCAAUUAAAAUAGUAGAUGAAGACUCUUGAAAUAAUUAAUAGCUUUGACAUAAGGGAUGCUUUAUAAAAGCACAUCAUUAUUCAGCAUUCUAAUUGUUGGUGGUUGAGAAUAAAAACAUGCUUAAGUCUGCAUGUGAGUACAAAGGAGAUAAAUUUGUGUCUAAAAUGAAGUACAUAGUCCUUAUCCACAAGUAUCUUUGUGACAAUUCAGAGUAAUGGAAUUUUAAUAUAUUGUGGGAAAAGAGUAGCAAGCCAUGUAUCUUUCACCAUUGUAGAGAGAGAGAUCUUAUUUCAUUAAAGAUAAAAGAUAGACAAGAAUGAUAAAAAUGGGGCAAAAUCUUGAAGUUAUUUCCCCUGUUAUUUCCCCAAACUUUAAAAUGCUUCUAUCUGGCAGCAUGGAAACAUCUGGUGGAUGACUUUCAUGAUUUCAAUAUGUUAUUAACAUGUACUGAUAAUGUGUACAGUUUGACUGCUAACAAACUUAGUCCAAACCUGCUAUGAAGAGAUUUAAGAUCCAGAUGCAGGAUCUGACUUUCCUUUAGGAACAAGAACAGAGGCGCUUUCAGAAAGACUAGGAGAUUUGAAAACAAACUUUUCAAGCCCAUGCUGAAUAUAUCAUUAUUUAUGCCAUGUCCUGUCAAAUUUUCUAUGGGACUUUUGGGAGUAAAAAAAAAAAAUGUGUGAAAGGUGAAUAUUAGAUAUAUUCCACAGCGUAAGGGGGGGAAAUCAUAUUUUUACCCCACUUAAGUUCUCGAGCAGAAGCUCUAACACUUGAUGAUGUGGCUGGUGGCAAAUACCUCUCUUGAAGAUUUUAUUUUGUAAAGAUUAAUUCAGAGACCAUCUGGUAGUCAGAUUGUCAGCCAGAGUGUGCGUUAUACUGGUCAGAUAUACUGCUGAUUGGAGUGCUCUGUUUGUGCCACAACAUUCCCACAGGUGACUUGUUACUGAAUAAAAUAUGGAAGCCUGGUAAUUUAUGCAAAAGAACACCACUGUGAUUGCCUGUGAGAAUGUGCAUCAACUUUCUUUUGAUCAGAAGAAGGGUCAGUCUUAUAGCCCAGAACUCUAAAGUAUGGGUGUGAGAUAUGGGUUCUUUUGGCUUUUGAUAUUGGGUUAUCAACUGAGCGUGCCUAUCAAAGCUGGAUGCUCUAAGUGUGAUAUCAAUCACCUUUUCUUUCACAUUGGCCAAUGUGACACUGUACAGAAUAUGUAAGCGCUUUAUAAUAUUAUCAAUAUUAAAAAAUUGCAAAGAAUCAUGCCAGAUAUACCAUCUAAGGUAUCUGUGAAAAAUGUUAUAAUUGGCCAAGUAUGCUAAUCUUGUUUGUAUCACCUUUUGUAUUAUGAGUUAUAUAUAUGCAUAGUAUAUCUAUAUUUCCAAACUUGGGCUGUGUUUCUUGGUGAUAUCCCCAGACAGAUUGGCAUCAGCACUGAGCCUGCUGGAUGGCCUAUCAAGAGUCACCAGCUGUACAAAGAACCCAUUAAAAGAAGCCAGGGGUUACACCUUAUCAGUCAUCAGGACUUGAAGGAGCAUGCCUCUGGACAGGGGACUCCAAGGUUUUUCCAUGCCAUGUGCUGUGAAGCUUGUGUUUGGGACACAGGAAGUACAAGCCACAUGGCAAAAGGAAUAUAAAGGGCACCUGCAUCAUUUCCAUUUUUUAUUCAUUCCUGUUUCUUACCUCUGGAGUGACUUUUCUACAAACAAAGCUCUGAACAAAGGACUGAAUGACCCAUCCAAGCUGUGGAUGUAUUCCAGAGAGAUUUUCAAGUCAGCAAACACACCAAUACUGCUAAGAACCUGAUAUACGGACUUUGAAGUCUCUGUAUGUAUCUGAGUGCUUUAUCAUUUAACAACUCUCUUCUAGUUCUUUCUUUUUUCUUUACAAUAAACCUUAA